AUACGGAGGGUGCAAGCGUUACUCGGAAUCACUGGGCGUAAAGCGCGCGCAGGCGGCUUGAUAAGUUGGAUGUGAAAGCCUACGGCUCAACCGUAGAACUGCAUCCAAAACUGUCAAGCUAGAGUCUGGGAGGGGAAGAUGGAAUUAGUUGUGUAGGGGUAAAAUCCGUAGAGAUAACUAGGAAUACCAAAAGCGAAGGCGAUCUUCUGGAACAGUACUGACGCUGCGGCGCGAAAGCGUGGGGAGCAAACAGGAUUAGAAACCCCAGUAGUCC
rnacentral:rRNA from 1 species